AUGAGCGCCUGUCCACCCCAUUCCUCCUGCCGUAGCGCCAGCCACCACGUGCCUUUCAGCGCGGUCGGCAUGGACCCGGGCUAUGUGGAGACGGCCAGCGUCGGGCGCCCGCGAAUCAAGGUCGAGCCGCUGUUUCCCUUCUCCGGGACGGCGGCUUUUUUA
rnacentral:ncRNA from 1 species